UACGUAGGGGGCGAGCGUUGUCCGGAAUCAUUGGGCGUAAAGCGCGCGUAGGCGGCCCGGUAAGUCCGCUGUAAAAGUCCAGGGCUCAACCCUGGAACGCCGGUGGAUACUGCCGGGCUAGAGUCCGGAAGAGGCGAGUGGAAUUCCUGGUGUAGCGGUGGAAUGCGCAGAUAUCAGGAGGAACACCGAUGGCGAAGGCAGCUCGCUGGGACGGUACUGACGCUGAGGCGCGAAAGCGUGGGGAGCGAACAGG
rnacentral:rRNA from 1 species